UCCACGCCCUAAACGAUGAACACUAGUCGUCGGGAUGCUAGUCAUCUCGGUGAUGCACUUAACAGGUUAAGUGUUCCGCCUGGGGAGUACGGUCGCAAGAUUAAAACUCAAAGGAAUAGACGGGGACCCGCACAAGUGGUGGAGCAUGUGGUUUAAUUCGAAAAUACGCGAAGAACCUUACCUAGCCUUGACAUUGAAGAAACACUUUAGAGAUAGAGUGGUGCCCUUCGGGGAAUCUGAAACCGACUUUUCUUCGGACAGUCUACAAGGUGCUGCAUGGUUGUCGUCAGCUCGUGCCGUGAGGUGUCGGGUUAAGUCCCAUAACGAGCGCAACCCCUAUCAUUAGUUGCCAACAGGUCAAGCUGGGGACUCU
rnacentral:rRNA from 1 species